GGUUUCCGUAGGUGAACCUGCGGAAGGACAUUCAC
rnacentral:rRNA from 1 species